rnacentral:sRNA from 1 species
GCUGGGCAUAGUGGUGCACGCCUAUAAUUCCAAUGGUUUUGGAGGCUGAGACAGGAGGAUUACGAGUUCAAAGGCAGCCUCAGUAACUUAGCGAGGUCCUAAGCAACUCAGUGAGACCCUGUCUCUA